AACGGCCGUACCAUGCUGAAUAUACCGGUUCUCGUUAGAUCACUGAAGUCAAGCAUCAUUGGUCGCGGUCAGCACUUGGGUGGUGACCACCUGAGAACACCGCGUGCCGUU
rnacentral:rRNA from 1 species